UACGUAGGGGGCAAGCAUUGUCCGGAUUUAUUGGGCGUAAAGAGCGUGUAGGCGGCCUGAAAGGUCAGCUGUGAAAACUCGAGGCUCAACCUCGAGACGUCGGUUGAAACCAUCUGGCUAGAGUCCGGAAGAGGAGUGUGGAAUUCCCGGUGUAGCGGUGAAAUGCGCAGAUAUCGGGAAGAACACCCGUGGCGAAGGCGGCACUCUGGGACGGUACUGACGCUGAGACGCGAAAGCGUGGGGAGCGAACAGG
rnacentral:rRNA from 1 species